rnacentral:rRNA from 1 species
AGCAGUCGCCGCGGGAAUACGAAGGGGGCUAGCGUUGCUCGGAAUCACUGGGCGUAAAGGGUGCGUAGGCGGGUCUUUAAGUCAGGGGUGAAAUCCUGGAGCUCAACUCCAGAACUGCCUUUGAUACUGAAGAUCUUGAGUUCGGGAGAGGUGAGUGGAACUGCGAGUGUAGAGGUGAAAUACGUAGAUAUUCGCAAGAACACCAGUGGCGAAGGCGGCUCACUGGCCCGAUACUGACGCUGAGGCACGAAAGCGUGGGGAGCAAACAGGAUUAGAGACCCCCGUAGUCCCUGUCUCUUAUAC